UACGUAGGAUGCAAGCGUUAAUCGGAAUUACUGGGCGUAAAGCGUGCGCAGGCGGUUCUAUAAGACAGAUGUGAAAUCCCCGGGCUCAACCUGGGAACUGCAUUUGUGACUGUAGAGCUGGAGUACGGCAGAGGGGGAUGGAAUUCCGCGUGUAGCAGUGAAAUGCGUAGAUAUGCGGAGGAACACCGAUGGCGAAGGCAAUCCCCUGGGCCUGUACUGACGCUCAUGCACGAAAGCGUGGGGAGCAAACAGG
rnacentral:rRNA from 1 species